rnacentral:tRNA from 1 species
GACGGUAGCUCAGUCGGUAGAGCAUCUGCCUUUUAAGCAGGGGGUCCCGGGUUCAAGCCCCGGCCGUC